CGCGCGCUGGGCCCCGCGGACCGCGCGUCCCGGAGCGGCGACGCCAGCCUCUCACCGCGGCCCCACACCCUUAUCCGCCAGCUGCUCUGAAGCAGUGGCCUGGACGCCGCUGCUCUGGGCGCGGGGAAUGGUAAAGCUGGCGGUUUCGUCCCUAGAAAGGAACCCGGAGCUGGGGAGGGCUCCGACUUCAGCGCGAGCCCUGUGACCCGGGGUGGCUGGGCUCCUCGGGCCGCAGUUUCCCUGUGGUGGAGAUCCCAGUAUCCCCGUCGGAAGGCUGCGCGCAGCAGCGGAGGCAGUGGGUGCACGCCCUGUGCACACCGUGCCUGGGCUAUCACUGUGGCGUCGGUGUGCACACGACACAGGCGCAGGGUGCCGUGGCACACAUCUGUAAUCCUAUCACUCAGGAGGCAGAUGCAGGAGGAUCACAAGUUUGAGACCAGACUUCGUCUGCAUAGCAAGUCGAAUGCCUGCCUGCCUGGACCACAUAUUUCCAGAGCCAGGAUUUAAGAGAUUAGCAGUUUCCAGUGCUGGCACCUGAGAUGCUCACUCUUGGAACUCUCCAUCAUGCUCUCCGGAAGCCCAAACGGCCCUUGAAGAGGACCACAUGGAGAGGCCUGUGUCCUCCAUCCCAGCUGAAUGCUCGGCUUCAGUCAUCCCCAGAGUACAGCACUGUCUGCAGCCCCUGCGAAGGAGAAGCUGUCUGGUGCCAUUAGCGUCCCUGAAGAGCAGUGUUUUGCAUGUCUGCUCUACAUCACCGCCGUUCCUCCAAGACCCGACCCAGUGACUGAGGAUGCUGGCCUCACCGUGCCUUCCACCAUGGCCAUGCUGUGUGUGGACAAUCUGGGCUCCUCUUUCUCGGUCUCCCCCGGGGUCACUCGUGUGACUGUGGUACCCAGCUCUGGAGGGUCCGAGGUGGUGUCCUCACGUGUUCCACAGUCAGUGCUGGCUCUCUCUCUCUUCUGUGUCUUUCUUACAAAAGAAAAAGGAAUCAUAUGGUUUAUGGAAGAAAAUUUAGAAAUGCUGUCAAAACAAGGGAAAGAAAAUAGCACUCACCUAUAAUGCCAGCACCUCAGAAUAACCAUUGUUGGUAUUUAGACAUAUAUAUCUAUCCAGCCUUACUCUAAAAUAUUGGUAACAAUGUGUAGUCUACAAAAAUGCAUAUUAUUGAUUACUUCUUUUUUUUUUUUUUUUUUUUUUUGCAGAACCAGGGAUCAAACUCAGGACCUUGUGCUUGCCAGGCA